AGAGUUUGAUCCUGGCUCAGAAUCAACGCUGGCGGCGUGCCUCAGACAUGCAAGUCGAACGCGAAAGUUUCCUUCGGGGAAUAAGUAGAGUGGCGCACGGGUGAGUAACACGUAGGUAAUCUACCUUCGGGUGGGGAAUAACCCAGGGAAACUUGGGCUAACACCGCAUGAUGCAGCGGCACCACAUGGUGACAGUUGUUAAAGCGGGGGAUUUUCGGACCUCGCGCCUGAAGAGGAGCCUGCGGCGGAUUAGCUAGUUGGUGAGGUAACGGCUCACCAAGGUCACGAUCCGUAGCCGGCCUGAGAGGGCGGUCGGCCACACUGACACUGACAUACGGGUCAGACUCCUACGGGAGGCAGCAGUCGGGAAUUUUGGGCAAUGGGCGAAAGCCUGACCCAGCAACGCCGCGUGAAGGAUGAAAUCCCUCGGGAUGUAAACUUCGCAAGAAUGGGAAGAAUUAGCGAGCGCUAAUACCGCUCGUGAUGACGGUACCAUUUGUAAGCUCCGGCUAACUCCGUGCCAGCAGCCGCGGUAAUACGGGGGGAGCAAGCGUUGUUCGGAUUUACUGGGCGUAAAGGGCGCGUAGGCGGUCAGCACAAGUCAGUUGUGAAAUCUCCGGGCUUAACUCGGAAAGGUCAACUGAUACUGUGCGACUAGAGUGCGGAAGGGGCAACUGGAAUUCUCGGUGUAGCGGUGAAAUGCGUAGAUAUCGAGAGGAACACCUGCGGCGAAGGCGGGUUGCUGGGCCGACACUGACGCUGAUGCGCGAAAGCCAGGGGAGCGAACGGGAUUAGAUACCCCGGUAGUCCUGGCCUUAAACGAUGGAUGCUUGGUGUCUGGGGUUUUAUAGUCCCCGGGUGCCGCAGCUAACGCGUUAAGCAUCCCGCCUGGGGAGUACGGUCGCAAGACUGAAACUCAAAGGAAUUGACGG
rnacentral:rRNA from 1 species